GGCUUCGUGGUGUAGUGGUCAGCACGCUGGGCGCGUAUUCCAGAGGUCUGUGGUUCGAGUCCCGGUGAAGGCA
rnacentral:tRNA from 1 species